rnacentral:rRNA from 1 species
GUGGGGAAUCUUCCGCAAUGGACGAAAGUCUGACGGAGCAACGCCGCGUGAGUGAAGAAGGUUUUCGGAUCGUAAAGCUCUUUCGUUAGGGACGAACGUGCUCUUUGUGAAUAAUGAGGAGUAAUGACGGUACCUAAAUAAGAAGCCACGGCUAACUACGUGCCAGCAGCCGCGGUAAUACGUAGGUGGCAAGCGUUGUCCGGAAUUAUUGGGCGUAAAGCGCGCGCAGGCGGGAUAUCAAGUCUGUCUUAAAAGUGCGAGGCUCAACCUCGUGAGGGGACAGAAACUGGUAUUCUUGAGUGUCGGAGAGGAAAGUGGAAUUCCAAGUGUAGCGGUGAAAUGCGUAGAGAUUUGGAAGAACACCAGUGGCGAAGGCGACUUUCUGGACGAUGUCUGACGCUGAGGCACGAAAGCUAGGGGAGCGAACGGGAUUAGAAACCCGUGUAGUCC